UACGUAGGGGGCAAGCGUUGUCCGGAUUUACUGGGCGUAAAGAGCGCGUAGGCGGACGCUUAAGUGUGGCCUGAAAGCCCCCGGCUCAACCGGGGAAGGUGGCUGCAAACUGGGCGUCUUGAGGGCGAUAGAGGAGAGUGGAAUUCCUGGUGUAGCGGUGAAAUGCGUAGAUAUCAGGAGGAACACCGGUGGCGAAGGCGGCUCUCUGGGUCGGACCUGACGCUGAGGCGCGAAAGCGUGGGGAGCGAACGGG
rnacentral:rRNA from 1 species